AUUAAAGCACCUCCCUCCAGCCCCGAAGCAUAUGUAUAAACACUGUAUAUGACCAGCCAGGACUCCCCACAAACCCCAGUAACAGGGUCUUCAUAUUCACAGAACAGUAGCGCUGGAAUAAGUCCUACAAAUGUUAUCUAGUCCAUGCACCAGCAGGAUGAAAGACACCUAGGCCACCUUUGUUCUUAAAAAUCUCUCAUGAGGAUUCAAUAACCUCCCCAGGCAGCCUGUCCUCGUGUUCUUUAGCUUUACAGUUCGAAGGUUUUCCUAAUAUCUAACCUAAAACUCAACAGCAAAUUAAGCCUAUUCCUUUUUGCCCCUCCUCUCAGUGGACCUGGUGAACAACUGAUCGCCACCCUUUUUAUAACAUUCUUUUCAUAGACUGGAAGAUUGUUACGUCCUUCUUUAACCUUCUUGCUUUGUACACUACAGAAAAACAGCUCCUUUAGAAGAAGUCAACCAUGAGGAAAGUUUGAACUUCUUACUUUAUUUGUUGCUCUCCUCUUGGAAGCUGUCUGUCUACAUCUUAGUGUGAUGCCCAACACUAGGUAUACGCUACAGCUGAGGUCCUACCAGUGCCAAGUAGGAGGUAAUUCUGCUGUCUUACUUAUGACACUUAACAUAUACCAGACUGUCCUCUUCUAAAAUACAAAACAACACCCCAGCAUCACACUGACAACUCAUUCAAUUUGUGAUCCAGUGUAAUCCCCGGAUUGUUCCCUAUUUCAUAUUCUUCUUCUUAAAUGUAGCAUUUAGCAAGUGUCUUUACUACAUUUCAUAAUGUUGGUUUCCAACCAUUUAUCCAGUCUGUCAAGAUUAAUUUGAAUUCUGAUCCUGUCCUCCAAAAGACCUGACAAUACCUUCCACGUUGCUGUUAUCUAUCACUUUUUACUCUCCCUAUUUCAUCAUCCAAGUCCUUCACAAAAAUUCUGACUGUAAGCAAACCAGAACAGAUUCUUGUGGGAUCCAAAGUACCCUGCUUUGAUAGUGAACCUCUAAUAACUAUUCUUUAAGAGCACUUUUUAAGCCAGCUCAGCACUCACCUUAUGGUUAUUUCCCUAGUUUGCUUAUGACAAUUCCCUAUAAUCUGAUUUCAAAAUAUGUCACAUCAUCAUUCCACAGUUAUCCACAAGCAAGCAGGAAACACGUUCACGGACUACUGUCAUUGUGAAAAUGUACCUACAAGUUCAUCCAGUAAUGUCACAUCCAAGCACAUGGAUACAGAAUACCUAUUCCUAAGGUAACUACAGCAGAUCUGAGAACAGAAUAAGACCUGUUUUCUUGUAGAAAUGCAUCUAAAUCAUAUACCGAGCUGAAAACCCCCUUGAACACUGAUGGCACUGAAAAAAAAAAAAUCAAAUCUUUUUUCCAAAUAUGGGAUGUUAACUAAAAACUAAAAAAGACAAACUAAAAAAAAGACUAAUUAUAUAGUCUCAGGCCACUAAAAGUAUGGCCAUUUUAAUGGCAGAAUUUAAGACUUGUAACCUGAGGAAAAUGCUGAAGAUAAUGACGUUAAACCAAAUAUACUCUUUUAUACACCAGUGACACCAAGCAGCCAAGAGAGGUGAAAAAGAGCUUCCACAUAGACAGAGGGAAUAAAUCCACCCUCCUCAAGUUGUGGAAUCUGUCUAAUGCUGCAGUAGGUACUGCAUCGGUCCCCACACCUGAUAGAGGGCAACAGCAAGUAUAGCACAGGAAUUUCCCAUUGCCCAGACAGGCAAACUGUACAGUGCACCAACUUGCCAUGUGGAAACCAUGACUUGUGGAGCUUCUCCAAAUUGUGUUUUCCCUCCACACGCACAAAGUAAAUGGUUACCGUGAGCCCCAAGCAUUCCAGAAAAAAAAAAAAAGGCAGACACAACCUUUAACGAAGUAUGUGUCACCAUAGUUAGAAAUGUUUAGUUUUCAGUAAAACUGUAAU